UCUCUCUGUCUCAGCUCCUUUCUUUGCGUCCUUUGUUUUAUCUCAGGUGAAUUGUAAUCAUGUGAUCAAACGAGCACCCCCCUUCAUUACCCUCUUAAAUGAAAAAAUGAGGAACAAAAAGCACUUCUGUGUAUAAAAGCAAAGAAAAGAGAAAAGACGUGUGUCUGUCUGUCGAGCGUCUCACUUGUGUAUGGAUACUGUCUCACGGAUCGGGGCCUGCCGACACUGGGAUUAAUUCCAACAAGACGAGAACACGUCACAACUUUACAGGACAGAGUGAGAGAUAAGAGUCCAUCCUGAGAUCUACAGCAGCUGUUCUCCUUUGGACAAGCCACAUGACGUGACCCCCUCAUGUGAUCUCAUGAGAGGCAAAUGACCAUUUAAGAGACAUGACAUCGGGUCUUGACCUUUAGGGUCACAGGGUCACUUCCUCCUUCCGAUGGGAAGACUGCUGGAGUA